CCUGUUGGAGGUAGAGGAAGGCGGGCGGGCACGGCACGGAGUGCGGGAGCAUGCUGCCGGAGUUGGACAGCAGGAGGCAGCCCGAGUUCGCCAUGGAGCACAGCAUGGGGCGGCAGGGGGGCGCCCGGCGGCCGGAGGAGCUCUGCGCUCGCUGCGUCCCUCGGUGUGUGCGCGCGCCCUGCCUCCCGGGCGCCCUCCCGGUCUCUCCUCCUCCUCUUCCUCCUCGGGGCCUCCCCUCCCCCUCGUGGCGCUCUUUAGGAGGGAGGCAUGGAAAGGCCAGCGGCGCGCCUCUGCCCGGUGCUCCCCCUGCCUAGGCAGGGAAGCUGAAGAGAGAGCGCGCGAGAAUAUGGCAAGAGAAUAUAUGCGCGAGAGGAUGGAUGCGAGGGAACGAGGGGGAGUCUGCCACUUUGGAGCAACCCGAGCCCUGUCUGCAAAGAGUGGUAGGGGCAGACCCAGGACAUUCAGUGCCAGUUCUGGACUCCGCUCUCCUUCCUAAAGGCACCUGGUAUCCUCUCCUCCCACCAUGGACAGCAAGUUCUCCUCUGGAAGGAGGCUGUCUUGAGGCUUCUCCUGUGCACAGAGGACAUCAUGGAGCUUGGCAGAGGCCACUCAGGACAAGGGCUGAGCUCACAGGCUCCAGUUACAGCAAGGCCAUCGUCACAGAUACACUGUGUCUGCGUGGUUCUGCAGAGCCAGACCUUCCUGCCCCAGCCUGGGCUUCUUGGCGCAGGGUAGCAUGAGAGGCCUUGGAAACUCCACUCCAGUGCUCCAGGGCAUGGUGAAACUGUCACAGUCAUACAGCUUUGGACACAUGAGAUCUCAGUCAUCCGGGCACCUUCAGACUCCUG
rnacentral:lncRNA from 1 species